rnacentral:rRNA from 1 species
AUUGAACGCUGGCGGCAUGCCUUACACAUGCAAGUCGAACGGUAACAGGUUAAGCUGACGAGUGGCGAACGGGUGAGUAAUAUAUCGGAACGUGCCCAGUAGUGGGGGAUAGCCCGGCGAAAGCCGGAUUAAUACCGCAUACGACCUACGGGUGAAAGGGGGGGAUCGCAAGACCUCUCGCUAUUGGAGCGGCCGAUAUCAGAUUAGGUAGUUGGUGGGGUAAAGGCCUACCAAGCCUGCGAUCUGUAGUUGGUCUGAGAGGACGACCAGCCACACUGGGACUGAGACACGGCCCAGACUCCUACGGGAGGCAGCAGUGGGGAAUUGUGGACAAUGGGCGCAAGCCUGAUCCAGCAAUGCCGCGUGCAGGAAGAAGGCCUUCGGGUUGUAAACUGCUUUUGUCAGGGAAGAAAUCCUCUGGGUUAAUACCUCGGGGGGAUGACGGUACCUGAAGAAUAAGCACCGGCUAACUACGUGCCAGCAGCCGCAGUAA